GAUGAACGCUGGCGGCGUGCAUAACACAUUCAAGUCGAACGGACAAGGAGGAAGCUUGCUUCUUCCAAGUUAGUGGCGGACGGGUGAGUAACACGUGAGCAACCUGCCUUUAAGAGGGGGAUAGCUUCUGGAAACGGAUGGUAAUACCCCAUAACAUAUACUGAUGGCAUCUUCGGUAUAUCAAAGAUUUAUCGCUUAGAGAUGGGCUCGCGUCUGAUUAGAUAGUUGGUGAGGUAACGGCUCACCAAGUCGACGAUCAGUAGCCGGAUUGAGAGGUUGAACGGCCACAUUGGGACUGAGAUACGGCCCAGACUCCUACGGGAGGCAGCAGUGGGGAAUAUUGGGCAAUGGGGAAACCUGACCCAGCAACGCCGCGUGAAGGAGAA
rnacentral:rRNA from 1 species